AUUCAUUCUGGGAUAUCCAAUAAAAUUGGAACGGUACAGAGGAAACUAGCAUGACCCUUAUGCAAGGAUGACACAUGUCUGCUUUAAUUUGACUGACAUUUAC